GGAGAUCCCUCCUUUUUGGGGUUUUCUACUGUGAGCCUAGAAUAUAGGAUUUCAUCAAAAGGAAAAAUGUACCUGAGCUUUCCAGUGUAUGACUCCAGGGACCCUCCAUGGUGCUUCAGCUCUCCAGCUGGGAAGGCAUCCAUUCUGUUAUUGAAGUCCCUGCUGUAAGGCUCCAGACCUCACUUACACCAGUGUGCAGCAGUAUUUGUUAGUGCUGUCCUAGCAGGCAAAUUCAGUCUUGAGAACUGAACUCCCGAGCUUUGUCUUCUGAAGAGAAAGUAGUUGCAAGUUUUUCCGAGGGAGCUAAGAAAGUAUAAACUGACAAUAGCUGGUACCAUUCACAUUCUGGAAGCUUUCCAGCUGCAUUAACCAAGUCUCCUGGGCUAGUUAGUUGUUUUGUGAGGAAAAGUCAUCUAUGAAAAAAUACCAAAAUGGCAUUUUUCUUAUGUAUGUGUAAGGUGUGCUCGUGUAUGUAAAAGUGUGUGCUUUCUAGUGAAAUAAAUGGCUUUUUAA
rnacentral:lncRNA from 7 species